rnacentral:rRNA from 1 species
AUUGAACGCUGGCGGCAGGCCUAACACAUGCAAGUCGAGCGAGCGGCGGACGGGUGAGUAAUGUAUGGGGACUGCCCGAUAGAGGGGGAUAAACACUGGAAACGGUGGCUAAUCCCGUAUACUAUAGGAUACCCCCUAUGGGAUUAGCUCGUAGGUGGGGUAAAGGCUCACCUAGGCGCCGAUCUCUAGCGUGUCUGAGUGGAUGAUCAGCCCCACUGGCACUGAGACACGGCCCAGAUUCCUACGGAGGCAGCAGUGGGGAAUAUUGCACAAUGGGCGCAAGCCUGCUGCAGCCAUGCCGCGUGUAUGAAGAAGGCCUUCGGGUUGUAAAGUACUUUCAGCGGGGAGGCGUUACCCGCAGAAGAAGCACCGGCUAACUCCGUGCCAGCAGCCGCGGUAAUUC